ensembl:lncRNA
UUUUAUUCUCAUUAGCAUUAUUGUAGUUAUUAAAAUGUUAAUCCUUGAGGGAUAUACAUAUUUCUUAAAGUGGAGUGAGUAUGGGGUAGUUGAAAGAGGGUGUUAGAAGUCAGACAGGCCUCGGCUUAGAUCUUGGAUCACCUAAUUCAGAUCUAAACCUAAGUUUGUUCAACUGUACAAAAGAGGCUAAUACCCACCUUGUGAAAUUUUUGUAAAGUUUAAAUGAAGAAUAUAAAGAAAAUGCGUAGCACAAUAACUGACCCAUGAGAGAUGCUCAGCUUAGGUGACUUUGCAUGAAGAAUUGCCACUGUCUACAAGAGCAUUAGCAUUUUUAUAGGGAUCAGAAUUAUAAACUCCAGGAAGAUCAUAGGGGAAAGAUAUGAUCCUGGUGGUAGAGCAGCCAUUACAACAUUUUUCCCUCGCCGCUCAAGCUUAAACUUCUGACUUGUUCUCAUCUUUUAGAUCUCAGUUUGGCUGUCACUUCCUCCAGGAAGUCUUCAGUGCUAGGCUUCCAUGGAGCUCUGUCCUCCUCCUGUCGUAGGAAGACACAGUAUCAUGGGUGAUAUGUUCACUUGUCUAAAACGCCUGCUUGAUAAUAAGGUCCUUGAGACAAGAAAAUGUGCCUCCUUUGUAAUCUGUGUGGCUACAGCAAUAUUUCUAUCCCACAUGCUUUUGCAGAACCUUGUCCCUCCCUUAUCAAGUAGUGGAGUUUUUGUCGCCUCCUCCCCUUAAACCUGGGUAGGCCUUUGUGACACCUAAACUUAUAGAGUAGAAUGGAGAAUAAUUCUAUGAUUCUGAAGUUAGGUCAUAAAGGAUGGAACAGCUUCCACCUGACUUUUUCUCUUAAAAUAAUCUCCCUUGAAACACAGCCACCAUGGUGGGAGGAAGACUAAGCCAUAAGGAGAGGCACACAAGGAGGGGAAUUGAGGUCCCAGCCACAACCAAGCUCCCUGCCAACAGCCAGCAUCAACUUUCUAGUCACACAAGUGAGCCAUCUUGGAAGCAAAUACUCCAGUCCUGAAUCAAGACACCUCAGCUAAUGGUGCGUGGAAGAGAUGUGCCUCUUCCACUGAUGCCAGUCCAAAUUGCAGAUUCAUGAACAACGAAAUAGUCCCCUUGCUUGCAGAAUACCUGGACGUCGUAGGAACAUAAGCUGGCUGGCAGAAAGACAAGGCAGGCAGCUUUGAUUUAUCCCAGGAAGUUAGAAAACCUCUCUUCAAUGAAGGAGGUGAAAGCCAUAAUGAUUCUUCAUAAUGAACCCUGAUGACGAGGAGCAAGCAAUGAGCCACUUUUUAUGGCAGUUAAUGAUUCGAGCAGAAUGAAAGAAGAAGACUGCACUGGUCACUUGCUCCUCUGAUUCAAACAUAAAAACACAACACAGUGAAAAAGCAUAUUGUUUCCCUGAACUUCAGAGGAAAAACUGAAAACGUUUUUCAAAGUAAAUGAAUUAAUCUCCGUUCCAAACCCAGUAACUAGUCUUAUUCUUUUGUUUUUGUCCUGAUCUGCCUUCCUUACAUAGAAGUUAUGUAGCACACGUUGUUUUCUUUUUAUAUCGGUUACAUUUUUACAGUAAUCACACAGUAUCUACACAAAAGAGAUUGGGUUGAUAUCUAUACAUAGAAAACUAAUGGGACCCUGUGAACCUGGAUACUGACACCCUCACUUUGUCAUCAAUGUAGAACAAUGCAUAAUAAAUGUUAUCAUCAUAUCUGUGCAAUACACAUAGAUUAAUCAUGACAAAAAAAUGUUAGGAUCCCCCUUAGUGUGUUAUUAUUUGUAAUUGUCCAUAACAAUAGUUACAACAAACUUUGGUACUAAUAGUGCAUGCAACAUUUGGAAAUUUACUAGUAUUUUUAACGAAUAAUAAAGAGAGUUUUCCAUGAAGAUGACAAGAAUGGUAAACACAUCCU